rnacentral:rRNA from 1 species
CAGUCGCCACGGUAAUACGGAGGAUCCAAGCGUUAUCCGGAAUCAUUGGGUUUAAAGGGUCCGUAGGCGGUCUUGUAAGUCAGUGGUGAAAGCCCAUCGCUCAACGGUGGAACGGCCAUUGAUACUGCAGGACUUGAAUUAUUGGGAAGUAACUAGAAUAUGUAGUGUAGCGGUGAAAUGCUUAGAGAUUACAUGGAAUACCAAUUGCGAAGGCAGGUUACUACCAAUUGAUUGACGCUGAUGGACGAAAGCGUGGGUAGCGAACAGGAUUAGAUACCCGAGUAGUCCCUGUCUCUUAUAU